GAUGAAGAACGCAGCGAAAUGCGAUACGUAAUGUGAAUUGCAGAAUUCAGUGAAUCAUCGAGUCUUUGAACGCACAUUGCGCCCUCUGGUAUUCCGGAGGGCAUGCCUGUCCGAGCGUCAUUGCUGCCCUCAAGCACGGCUUGUGUGUUGGGCCCCGCCCCCCGAUCCCGGGGGGCGGGCCCGAAAGGCAGCGGCGGCACCGCGUCCGGUCCUCGAGCGUAUGGGGCUUUGUCACCCGCUCUGUAGGCCCGGCCGGCGCUUGCCGAUCAACCAAACUUUUUUCCAGGUUGACCUCGGAUCAGGUAGGGAUACCCGCUGAACUUAAGCAUAUCAAUAAGUGGAGGA
rnacentral:misc_RNA from 1 species